rnacentral:snRNA from 1 species
AUGGCUUAGACUUAUGAGUAACGAAAAUAACACUUCUGGGUGAUGCCUGAAUCCUCACCGCUAAGGUGAGAUAAAUUUUUGAGUGGGUAAAGGUUGCCCCUAAGGUGACCCGACUACUUUGCGGGAUGCCUGGGAGUCGCCAUCUGCCCG